rnacentral:rRNA from 1 species
UACGGAGGAGGCAAGCGUUAUCCGGAAUUAUUGGGCGUAAAGCGUCCGCAGGUGGCACCUCAAGUCUGCUGUCAAAGACCGGGGCUUAACCCCAGAAAGGCAGUGGAAACUGAAGUGCUAGAGUGCAGUAGGGGUAGAGGGAAUUCCCGGUGUAGCGGGUGAAAUGCGUAGAGAUCGGGAAGAACAUCGGUGGCGAAAGCG